rnacentral:rRNA from 1 species
AUUGAACGCUGGCGGCAGGCCUAACACAUGCAAGUCGAGCGGGUGAAGGGAGCUUGCUCCUGGAUUCAGCGGCGGACGGGUGUGUAAUGCCUAGGAAUCUGCUUGGUAGUGGGGGAUAACGUCCGGAGACGGGCGCUAAUACUGCCUACGUCCUGCGGGAGCAAGUGGGGGAUCUUCGGAACUCACGCUAUCAGGUGAGCCUAGGUCGGAUUAGCUAGUUGGUGGGGUAAAGGCCUACCAAGGCGACGAUCCGUAACUGGUCUGAGAGGAUGAUUAGUCACACUGGAACUGAGACACGGUCCAGACGCCUACGGGAGGCAGCAGUGGGGAAUAGUAGACAAUGGGCGAAAGCCUGAUCCAGCCAGGCCGCGUGUGUGAAGAAGGUCUUCGGAUUGUAAAGCACUUUAAGUUGGGAGGAAGGGCAGUAAGUUAAUACCUAGCGGUUGUGACGGUACCAACAGAAUAAGCACCGGCUAACUUCGUG